UACGAAGGGGGCUAGCGUUGCUCGGAAUCACUGGGCGUAAAGCGCACGUAGGCGGACAUUUAAGUCAGGGGUGAAAUCCCGGGGCUCAACCCCGGAACUGCCUUUGAUACUGGGUGUCUAGAGUAUGGAAGAGGUGAGUGGAAUUCCGAGUGUAGAGGUGAAAUUCGUAGAUAUUCGGAGGAACACCAGUGGCGAAGGCGGCUCACUGGUCCAUUACUGACGCUGAGGUGCGAAAGCGUGGGGAGCAAACAGG
rnacentral:rRNA from 1 species